UGGCUGAUGUCAGGAAUGCUGUGGAAGUUU
rnacentral:piRNA from 1 species